rnacentral:rRNA from 1 species
UACAGAGGGUGCGAGCGUUAAUCGGAAUUACUGGGCGUAAAGCGUGCGUAGACGGUUGCGUAAGUCGGAUGUGAAAGCCCCGGGCUCAACCUGGGAAUGGCAUUCGAUACUGUGCAGCUAGGGUACGGAAGAGGGAAGUGGAAUUUCCGGUGUAGCGGUGAAAUGCGUAGAUAUCGGAAGGAACACCAGUGGCGAAAGCGACUUCCUGGUCCAGUACCGACGUUCAGGCACGAAAGCGUGGGGAGCAAACAGGAUUAGAAACCCCCGUAGUCC